GGAUGCGAUCAUACCAGCACUAAAGCACCGGAUCCCAUCAGAACUCCGGAGUUAAGCGUGCUUGGGCGAGAGUAGUACUAGGAUGGGUGACCUCCUGGGAGGUCCUCGUGUUGCAUUCC
rnacentral:rRNA from 1 species